rnacentral:rRNA from 1 species
AGAGUUUGAUCAUGGCUCAGGAUGAACGCUAGCUACAGGCUUAACGCAUGCAAGUCGAGGGGAAACGACAUCGAAAGCUUGCUUUUGAUGGGCGUCGACCGGCGCACGGGUGAGUAACGCGUAUCCAACCUGCCCACCACUUGGGGAUAACCUUGCGAAAGUAAGACUAAUACCCAAUGACGUCUCUAGAAGACAUCUGAAAGGGAUUAAAGAUUUAUCGGUGAUGGAUGGGGAUGCGUCUGAUUAGCUUGGUUGGCGGGGUAACGGCCACCAAGGCUACGAUCAGUAGGGUUCUGAGAGGAAGGUCCCCCANAUUGGAACUGGAGACACGGUACCAAACUCCGUACGGGAGCGA